UGAACGAGUAGAAGCGUUCAGCCUGCAUCCGCGUGCAGUGCCCGGAAAUUGCUCAAGUC
ncrna:Comamonas thiooxydans NMT1 RNA